ensembl:snoRNA
UAGCCAGUCAGCAAAUCUGCUUAUCUGAUUGUGUUUCUGCAGAAAUUUUUUAUAACUGGUGAUAGCAAUGCCAUGUUACAGGCCUUAAUGAUGUUGAGAUCAUUAAGGCCCCCGGUAAGUGGAUAUAUGA